rfam:Ictidomys tridecemlineatus contig026164, whole genome shotgun sequence.
GGGGAUAUAGCUCAGUUGGUAGAGUGCUUGUCUUGCAUGCACAAGGCCCUGGGUUCAAUCCCCAGCACCA